GCGAAAGUGGCGGAACUGGUAGACGCGCGAGACUUAGGAUCUCGUGGGAGCCACCCGUGGGGGUUCGAGUCCCCCCUUUCGCA
rnacentral:tRNA from 1 species